rnacentral:piRNA from 1 species
UAACCAGAGAAACAUCUGGUCUGCCGGUCU